GUAAAUAUAGUUUAACAAAAACACUAGAUUGUGAAUCUAGUAAUAGAAACUUAACAUUUCUUAUUUACU
rfam:Equus caballus chromosome 2, whole genome shotgun sequence.